UGAUCCAGCCGGACUUCAAAUCCAUGUGGAAGUGGG
rnacentral:tRNA from 14 species